GACGAUGRAGAACGCAGCCAGCUGCGAGACUUGGUGUGAAUUGCAGGACACAUUGAGCACUGAUUUUUCGAACGCGCAUUGCGGCCUCGGGUCCUGCCCGGGGCCUCGCCUGUCUGAGGGUCGGAUAAGACUUGCAAAGGAGGCUACGCCUUCAAUUGGCCGCACCUGGAGUGUUCACUCCAGCCGGCUCAAGGUCUUUGGUUCCUCCCCGGCCGAGAAGCGUCGUUCCCAAAUGACUCGACCUCUCGCGAUCUGGAGAAGACUGAGUAUUCUUUCUCCUGCGAAGCGAUUGGAACGGGAACGGAUGCAGAGAGUGUGCCGAACGGGAGUGUCUCCAUGGAAAUAAAAACACACAUUACUAUGUCGACCUCAGAUCAGACGAGAUGACCCGCUGAAUUUAAGCAUA
rnacentral:rRNA from 1 species